AAGAGAAAGAAGAUGAAGGAUGAGAAAGAGAAAAGAUGAGAGAGAAAGAGAAAAAGAAAAAGUAUGAGAAAGAGAAAAUGGAAGAGACAAGAAAGGAAGAGGAAGAGAGAAGUGGAAAGACAAACUAUUUUCUAUUUUCUAAGGAAGCAACGUGUUGUGUUGUGUUUUUAGAACAAAAAGAUAAAAUAGGAAAUUUGAGUAAAUUCACUUUUCUUAUAUCGUAG